UACGUAGGGCGCGAGCGUUGUCCGGAAUUACUGGGCGUAAAGCGUGCGCAGGCGGUUUGUUAAGUCUGCUGUGAAAUCCCCGAGCUCAACUUGGGAAUUGCAGUGGAUACUGGCAGGCUGGAGUAUGGUAGAGGAAGGUGGAAUUCCCGGUGUAGCAGUGAAAUGCGUAGAGAUCGGGAGGAACACCAGUGGCGAAGGCGGCCUUCUGGACCAAUACUGACGCUCAUGCACGAAAGCGUGGGGAGCAAACAGG
rnacentral:rRNA from 1 species